UUUUUCAUCUCAGACAAGGUAGUUUUCAUCUACCUCAGUGCCUGACCAGGAGGCCAGUCAGCCCGGAUGCCCCUCUUCAAAGAAGAAAUCACAAGAAAAAUUAGCAAAUAGUUCAAAUAUUAGUCAAAAUACAUAAAAUUUGUGGCAUCAUGUUAAAGGAAGAUUUGUCACUUGAAAUACAAAAGAUACUUCAAAAAGAAAGUAUACAAAUGGCCUAUAAGCUCAUGAACAGCCGUUCGACUCUGGCCACUGAGGAAACGCAAACUGAAGCUGACAGGCCCCGGCCCGGGUCAGUCGCAGGCGGCGGGGCCUCCGUGGGGGGCCGGGGUCUGUGCAAGGGGCUGCUGCAUAUUUCCCGAGCAGCUGCGUCCAGCGCAGCUCCGUGGGGGAAAAUAAACACAACUUCUCCAGGCCAGGC